rnacentral:rRNA from 1 species
UGAGGAAUUUUCCGCAAUGCCCGAAAGGGUGACGGAGCGACGCCGCGUGGGUGAUGAAGGUUUUCGAAUCGUAAAACCCUGUUAUAAAGGAUGACAAAUGACGGUACUUUAUGAGGAAGCAUCGGCUAACUCUGUGCCAGCAGCCGCGGUAAGACAGAGGAUGCAAGCAUUGUCCGGAAUUAUUGGGUGUAAAAUGUGUGUAGGUGGUUAUAUAAGUCAAGUGUGAAAGCUCGAUGCUCAACAUCGAAAUUGCAAUUGAUACUGUUUAACUUGAGUUCGGGUGAGGAAAGUGGAAUUCCCGGUGGAGCGGUGAAAUGCGUUGAUAUCGGGAGGAACACCAAUGGCGAAGGCAACUUUCCAGUCUGAAAACUGACACUGAGACACGAAAGCUAGGGGAGCAAACAGG